UGGAAGGGGCGCAGAGAUAUUUUUCAUUAGAAUUGGGAGAUGGAGGAGGAGCAAGAGUUCUGGUGAAGCCCGGAUCCUGCCUGGUGACAUUCAGCCCUUGAUUACGUGUCCACUGGAUGAUGGGCUGGUGCUGAGAACCACACUGAAGCCCUCUGUGUUUGGUCUUAAAUUCUCAGUUCCCUGAGUUGAUUGAUUUCUUUUUACUGUCUCUGAAGGCCCUAUUUUGCAUAUUUACUUGCCCCUUUAUUUCCCAAACGUAAUGUGGCAGGUGUUUUGCCGAACUGGUGGAGAGGAGACAAGGAGUGGAAACAAGAGAACAGCGGAAGAGGAGGGGGAGAUCAUGUGACUUGGGGAGCUGAAUAAAAAUUGCCUUCUUCUUAUAAAAUAGGCUCCACAGGAGUGAAAAAGGAGCUACAUGAAGGCAUUUUAAGUCAAGACAGAAUCCUGCUUGUCCCAGGAGAAGGUUGCAUCAGCAAUAUGCAGUCUGAGUCCAGCUCUGUCAUGGAUCACAGUCCCUGUAUUUCCUGAGAAACGACUUGCCAACAAGAAGAGAGGAUCAAGAGAAGGAGAUAGAUAAGCCAUAUCUUGAGAGAAUGAGCUAUGUGAUAGAAACCAAUGGAGACCAUGGGCAUCAAAAGAUGAACGAAGAACCAAGGUGAAAGAAGUAUCUCUGGGCUGGAUGUCUUCUCUGUGCCCU